UAUCAAAAGUUAAUUGAUUGACACAGCGGGAUGCCGUGGUCAGCGCUGAUGAAACCGCUCCUUGCUGCAAACUAUUUCCACGUGAUCUAUAUAGGUCAACUUACCAAGAUUUUGAAAAACCGGGCAGCAUUCUUGAGAGACAAAGAAUAGGGUUUAGGGAAUAUUUUACAUCACCGUAUGCGGCUGUUUGCAAAGACUAAAUAUUACACGUUAUGAGAGGAAUUGGACAGAAUGAAGUUUGCUACACACCAUCUUUGAGGGAUUUACCGGGGUAUUAAUUUUAAAGAAGAAAACAAAGAAGUCCAAGUGCCAAACAGAUGAUUUCCAAAGGAAGAAGGAUAUUGUGAUUUUUUUUUCUUAUUUCAAUUGUGACAAAUCUUCCCUGUUAAGAAGACUGUUAUUGACUGUGUGGAUGUAAAAAAGAGUUCAUGGAUUAUAUUUGUGAAAGAGUUUAAACCAAUUAAAACCAUAGGAAGUACAAUA